AUUGGACUCAUUUUGCUCCUAAUUUUUCAUAGAUUUGAGAUUUAGCUAGGUCUCAUCAUCAUAUGAUGAACCUAACUAAACCAAAUCAAGGAUUUUCAAAUUAAAUCAUG
rnacentral:miRNA from 1 species